rnacentral:rRNA from 1 species
ACUGCGAAAGCAUUUGCCAGAGAUGUUUUCACUGAUCAAGAACGAAAGUUAGGGGAUUGAAGACGAUCAGAUACCGUCGUAGUCUUAACCAUAAACCAUGCCGACUAGGGAUUUUUCGAUGUUCACUUAUUGACUCGGGAAGCACCUUACGGGAAACUAAAGUCUUUGGGUUCCGGGGGGAGUAUGGUCGCAAGGCUGAAACUUAAAGGAAUUGACGGAAGGGCACCACCAGGUGUGGAGCCUGCGGCUUAAUUUGACUCAACACGGGGAAACUUACCAGGUCCAGACAUUGUGAGGAUUGACAGAU